UACGAAGGGGGCUAGCGUUGUUCGGAAUUACUGGGCGUAAAGCGUGCGCAGGCGGCUUCUCAAGUCAGGGGUGAAAGCCCAGAGCUCAACUCUGGAAUUGCCUUUGAGACUGAGUGGCUUGAGUACGAGAGAGGUGAGUGGAAUUCCCAGUGUAGAGGUGAAAUUCGUAGAUAUCGGAAGGAACACCAGUGGCGAAAGCGGCUUCCUGGUCCAGCACCGACGUUCAGGCACGAAAGCGUGGGGAGCAAACAGG
rnacentral:rRNA from 1 species